AGCAGCUCAUUGGGCAUAAAGCGUGCGCAGGCGGUUUUGUAAGACAGAGGUGAAAUCCCCGGGCUCAACCUGGGAACUGCCUUUGUGACUGCAAGGCUGGAGUGCGGCAGAGGGGGAUGGAAUUCCGCGUGUAGCAGUGAAAUGCGUAGAUAUGCGGAGGAACACCGAUGGCGAAGGCAAUCCCCUGGGCCUGCACUGACGCUCAUGCACGAAAGCGUGGGGAGCAAACA
rnacentral:rRNA from 1 species